rnacentral:rRNA from 1 species
UACAGAGGUCUCGAGCGUUGUUCGGAUUCAUUGGGCGUAAAGGGUGCGUAGGUGGCGCUGUAAGUCAGGUGUGAAAUUUCGGAGCUUAACUCCGAAACUGCAUUUGAUACUGCGGUGCUUGAGGACUGGAGAGGAGACUGGAAUUUACGGUGUAGCAGUGAAAUGCGUAGAGAUCGUAAGGAAGACCAGUGGCGAAGGCGGGUCUCUGGACAGUUCCU